CCUCCUCACCUGGUAUCUGUCUGAAUGGUGGAGGUCAUCGGUGGCAGAUGAGUGGGGUGAUGCCGUUGGAGACUCUCCUUCCCUCUUGAUGGAAGCAGACAACAGGAGGGACUGGAAGAAGAAAACAGCUCUGAGCUGGAAGCACACAAUUCCCUAGGAGUCUUCCCCAGCUUAGAAAACCACGCCAAAUCGCCAGUGACAGCCCAAAGAAAGCAAUUUGGGAAAGAUGGAGCAGCCAUUUAUCCUUCAUCUCCGGCUGAGCCUUAGGAUGUGACCCGCAUGCGGUGGCCAUGCUGCACAUCCUCAGGCAAGGGCCCGUUAGAAGCCCUGAGAGGCCUCGGCAUUACACCUGGGGCAAGCGGAAUAAAAAAAGGUCACUGGUGCUUUUUAAACAUGGACCAAAAAGCAGUAAAAUGUGUUUU
rnacentral:lncRNA from 1 species